rnacentral:rRNA from 1 species
UACAGAGGUGGCAAGCGUUGCUCGGAAUCAUUGGGCGUAAAGGGCGCGUAGGCGGCGCCGCAAGUCGAGUGUGAAAGCCCCGGGCUCAACCUGGGAGGUGCGCCUCGCGACUGCGGUGCUGGAGUUCGGGAGAGGAGCGUGGAAUUCCCAGUGUAGAGGUGAAAUUCGUAGAUAUUGGGAAGAACACCAGCGGCGAAGGCAGCUAUCUGGACCACAACUGACGCUGAGGCGCGAAAGCUAGGGGAGCAAACGGG